GUGGAUAAGGACCUGAAACUAAUAAAAUCAAUAAAAGAAGUCUUCCCUCAAUCAAGCAUUCUGCUCUGCUGGUUCCAUGUAACACAGGCAGUUCAGAGAUGGAUAACGAAGAAAGAUUCAGAGAGAAGUGGGCCAAGUUUGAAGGAGGAGCGGAAUAAAGAAAUGGCCUUAAUGUUUCAGUUGAUGCACUGCACAACAGAGUCAGUUUCAGGAGGUUUUUUCAUCUCACUGCAAGAAUGUCCACCCUAAGGCAGCCAAUUACAUUAAAGAAAAUUGGAUUACAUGUGGUCAGAUGUGGUCGUCCUUUGGAAGGCAGUUCUUCCAUGAGGACAGUGAAACAAAUAAUUUAGCUGAACGAUACCUUGAUGGGCUACAAGAAGCUGGACGUUUGACCAACCCAAGGGCAGAGAAGGAGUCAACAGGUCUUAGGGCAGCUGAGGAACUUCUUCAAAAGGGCUGGAUAGAGCGAUGUCACUGGAUGGAUGACUACAGAUGCCUUGUACCGUCAACCAGCAGAGAAAACUGGUGGUACACUGUGGUUCUUCCAGAGUACACUUGUGAAUGUGUUGCAGCUUCUAAUGGAGGUCUUUGCAAACACCUCCACAUUGCUUUGGAAGCUGCAAAACAAAAGGGUCUUGACGUGGACUCUAUGCAGAAGAGACUUGUUCAGGAGCUGCUUCAGUGGGGAAAGACUUCCCAGUGCAAAGACAUGGUCUUAGUUGAGAGGUUUUUUUUUCAAAUGUGUUUAGCUGCAUUGAUGUUAAGUACAAGAAAUGUUCCUGCAUUGCAGCUAGCCAUGGGAGAUUGUGCAUCUGUACUCAAGUUUUUAAUAGAAUCUUUGCAGACACUGAUGUACAGGACCUAGAAGAGCAGACCCCACAUGACCUUGUAGAAGCUUGCCAGAGCAAUGCCACACAGCAAAUUAUUGAAAGACUUUACUUAUGGUCCAAAGGUACAGACUUUCAUGAAACAGCAGAAUUAAAACAAACCUUGGAAAAAGCACAACAAAUUGCUUUUGGAAAUUUUGAGUCAAAAUAUAGUCAGAGAAGGAUCCAUGUAUUGCACCCAUGGAGAAAAAACAAGCAACAUCGAUUUGCAAUGAAAUAUCACAAUUAUUCAAAGUCCAAAAAUACCAAA